CGCAGCCGCGGUAAUUCCAGCUCCAAUAGCGUAUAUUAAAGUUGUUGCAGUUAAAAAGCUCGUAGUUGAAUUUCGGGAUCAGUACGCUGGUCGUGCCUUCGGUAUGCACUGGUGUCACUGAUCCCUCCCUUCUGAAGAACCAUCAUGCCAUUAACUUGGUGUGGUGGGGAAUCAGGACUGUUACUUUGAAAAAAUUAGAGUGUUUAAAGCAGGCUCACGCUUGAAUACAUUAGCAUGGAAUAAUGAAAUAGGACGUUGAUCUUAUUUUGUUGGUUUCUAGGAUUGACGUAAUGAUUAAUAGGGAUAGUUGGGGGCAUUAGUAUUCAAUUGUCAGAGGUGAAAUUCUUGGAUUUAUUGAAGAUAACUACUGCGAAAGCAUUUGCCAAGGAUGUUUUCAUUAAUCUAAGAACGAAAGUUAGGGGAUCGAAGACGAUCAGAUACCGUCGUAGUCUUAACCAUAAACUAUGCCGACUAGGGAUCGGAUGAUGUUAAUUUUUUAAUUGACUCU
rnacentral:rRNA from 1 species